GAUGAACGCUAGCGGGAGGCCUAAUACAUGCAAGUCGAGCGGUAGAGUGACUUCGGUUGCUUGAGAGCGGCGCACGGGUGAGUAACGCGUACAUGACCUACCUUUAAGACUGGGAUAGCCCUGGGAAACUGGGAUUAAUACCGGAUGUGAUAAUACGUAUAGAGAUGUAUUAUUAAAGUUGAGGCGCUUAGAAAUGGAUGUGCGUCUGAUUAGCUAGUUGGUAGGGUAACGGCCUACCAAGGCUACGAUCAGUAGGGGGCGUGAGAGCGUGGCCCCCACCACGGUACGUNGACACGACCGGACCU
rnacentral:rRNA from 1 species